rnacentral:rRNA from 1 species
UGGGGAAUUUUGCACAAUGGGGGAAACCCUGAUGCAGCGACGCCGCGUGAUUUAGAAGGCCUUCGGGUUGUAAAAAUCUUUUCUAUGGGAAGAAAAUGACAGUACCAUAGGAAUAAGGACCGGCUAAUUACGUGCCAGCAGCCGCGGUAAUACGUAAGGUCCGAGCGUUGUCCGGAAUCAUUGGGCGUAAAGGGUACGUAGGCGGGUAAGCAAGUUAGAAGUGAAAUCCUGUAGCUCAACUACAGUAAGCUUUUAAAACUGCUCAUCUUGAGAUAUGGAAGGGAAAGUGGAAUUCCUAGUGUAGCGGUGAAAUGCGCAGAUAUUAGGAGGAAUACCGGUGACGAAGGCGACUUUCUGGCCAUAAUCUGACGCUGAGGUACGAAAGCGUGGGUAGCAAACAGG